CUCGUUUGGUAGCCAAAGAUGACUUGCCUGUAGGACGUUAUCUUCUUAAUAUUAAUUUUGAGUUUCUUAAAUAUAGAGACUCUUAAUUAGUUAUAUUACAGGCAGUUGUCUUGGGCUAAUUUGACAAGCUCUUUUCGAUCAUGUUAGAUUUUUUCUUCCUUUUAACUAAGAAAGUAUCAAAAAUUUCUUAUUAAGAAAGAGUUUAAGAUCAAAAGAUCAGGUCCAUCCAAAAAAGAAAAGUAUUGUUUGAUAGCCAAAAAUGACUUGCCUGCUAAUUCGAUGAGCAAAAGAGAUCUAUUUUUUAUUACUUAGAACUUGAAUGAGCUUCAUUUUCAGGCAAUCUUUUUGGCUAAUCUAACAAG
rnacentral:pre_miRNA from 1 species